AAACGACUCUCGGCAACGGAUAUCUCGGCUCUCGCAUCGAUGAAGAACGCAGCAAAAUGCGAUACUUGGUGUGAAUUGCAGAAUCCCGUGAAUCAUCGAGUUUUUGAACGCAAGUUGCGCCCGAAGCCUUCCGGCCGAGGGCACGUCUGCCUGGGUGUCACGCAACCGUCGCCCCCUCCCCCUCGCCCUGCCGGGGGCUUGGAGGCGGAUGCUGGCCUCCCGUGGGAACUCCGCCCGCGGCUGGCCGAAAAGAAGGGUCCUCGGCGGCGAUCGCCACGACAAUCGGUGGUUGAAAGACCCUCUGAAGCAGUCGUGGGCGAUCGCCCGCCAAAGGGAUCCCCCGAGACCCCGAUGCGUCGGCCUCAUGGCCACGCUCCGACCGCGACCCCAGGUCAGGCGGGACUACCCGCUGAGUUUAAGCAUAUCAAUAAGCGGAGGAAAAGAAACUUACCAGGAUUCCCCUAGUAACGGCGAGCGAACCGGGAAUAGCCC
rnacentral:rRNA from 1 species